rnacentral:rRNA from 1 species
AGAGUUUGAUCCUGGCUCAGGACGAACGCUGGCGGCGUGCUUAACACAUGCAAGUUGCGCGAGAAAGCUACCUUCGGGUAGUGAGUAAAGCGGCGAACGGGUGAGUAACGCGUGGGUUACCUACCUCUAAGUUAGGAAUAACUUUUCGAAAGGAAAGCUAAUGCCUAAUAUCCAAAGAUGGCUUUGCUAUCGCUUAGGGAUGGGCCCGCGUCCCAUUAGCUUGUUGGUAGUGUAAGAGACUACCAAAGCAACAAUGGGUAGCCGACCUGAGAGGGUGAUCGGCCACACUGGGACUGAGACACGGCCCAGACUCCUACGGGAGGCUGCAGUGGGGAAUCUUCCGCAAUGAGCGAAAGCUUGACGGAGCAACGCCGCGUGAGUGAUGAAGGCCUUCGGGUCGUAAAGCUCUGUCCUUAGGGAAGAACACCCCAGUAGAUAAUAACUGCUGGGAUUGACGGUACCUUUGGAGGAAGCCUCGGCUAAUUACGUGCCAGCAGCCGCGGUAAUACGUAAGAGGCAAGCGUUGUCCGGAAUCACUGGGCGUGAAGGGUGCGCAGGCGGUCUAGUAAGUCAAAAGUGAAAUCCAUCGGCUCAACCGGUGAACUGCUUUUGAAACUAUUAGACUUGAGAAUAGGAGAAGAGAGUGGAAUUCCUGGUGUAGUGGUGAAAUACGUAGAUAUCAGGAAGAAUACCAAUGGCGAAAGCAGCUCUCUAGCCUAAUUCUGACGCUGANGUACGAAAGCUAGGGUAUCAAACGGGAUUAGAUACCCCGGUAGUCCUAGCUGUAAACGCUGGAUACUAGGUGUUGGGGGUUCAACUCCCUCGGUG